rnacentral:rRNA from 1 species
AAUCAACGCUGGCGGCGUGCCUCAGACAUGCAAGUCGAACGCGAAAGUUCCCUUCGGGGAGCGAGUAGAGUGGCGCACGGGUGAGUAACACGUAGGUAAUCUACCCUCGAGUGGGGAAUAACUCAGGGAAACUUGAGCUAAUACCGCAUAAUGCAGCGGCACCACAUGGUGACAGUUGUUAAAGCAUUUAUGCGCUUGGGGAGGAGCCUGCGGCAGAUUAGCUAGUUGGUAAGGUAAUGGCUUACCAAGGCAACGAUCUGUAACCGGCCUGAGAGGGCGGACGGUCACACUGACACUGAAUAACGGGUCAGACUCCUACGGGAGGCAGCAGUCGGGAAUUUUGGGCAAUGGGCGAAGGCCUGACCCAGCAACGCCGCGUGAAGGAUGAAAUCUUUCGGGAUGUAAACUUCGGAAGAAU